GCGUCGAUAGCUCAGUGGCAGAGCAGUGGGACGGUACCAUACAGGCCCAGGGUUCGAUUCCUGGUCGACGCU